rnacentral:lncRNA from 1 species
UUAGAAUUUUUUGUGCGAAACGGGACUGAUAUUUUAGCAGAAAAUGCACAGUGUCAGAAAAUUAUGAAAACUGGAGAAUAUGUCGAAAUUAUUUUUAUGAUGUUAGAUUUAAAGUUUUAUGUCAAUCCGACACCCGGAAGGUGGAAAAUAAAAUCCGACUGCUGUCUGCUAGAGAUUGCAGUUCGAUAGAGAUUUCGGUGACCAAUGAUGGUCGAAACUGAAAGAUUAAAUUUUUUUUGUACUUAUUAAGUAAAACCGAGCAUGACUGUCAAAUUUGAGCACAAACGGACAUUCAGAAGGGCUCCGGCGAAAAACGUCAGUUGUAAACUGCUGAAGUGAAUAGUGUUUUGAAGGUGUUAAUUAUAAAGGAGUAAUUGUCUUCUUCUUCUCCUUCACCCG